UGAACGCUAGCGGCAGGCUUAACACAUGCAAGUCGAGGGGUAACAGGGAUUAGUUUACUAGUCUGCUGACGACCGGCGCACGGGUGAGUAACGCGUAUACAAUUUACCUUUUACAGGAGGAUAGCCCAGAGAAAUUUGGAUUAAUACUCCAUGGUAUUAUCGGAUCGCAUGGUUUGAUAAUUAAAGUUUCGGUGGUAGAAGAUGAGUAUGCGUCCUAUUAGCUGGUUGGUAAGGUAACGGCUUACCAAGGCGACGAUAGGUAGGGGUCCUGAGAGGGAGAUCCCCCACACUGGUACUGAGACACGGACCAGACUCCUACGGGAGGCAGCAGUGAGGAAUAUUGGUCAAUGGAGGCAACUCUGAACCAGCCAUGCCGCGUGCAGGAAGACUGCCCUAUGGGUUGUAAACUGCUUUUAUACAGGAAGAAACUUAUCCACGUGUGGAUAACUGACGGUACUGUACGAAUAAGGACCGGCUAACUCC
rnacentral:rRNA from 1 species